CAGCCGCCGCGGUAAUACCCGCAGCUCAAGUGGUGGCCACUAUUAUUGAGCCUAAAGCGUCCGUAGCCGGUCUUGUAAAUCUCUGGGUAAAUCUCAUCGCUUAACGGUGAGAAGACUGGAGAGACUGCAAGACUAGGGAUCGGGUGAGGUAAGAGGUACUCCUGGGGUAGGGGUAAAAUCCUGUAAUCCUGGGGGGACGACCGGUGGCGAAGGCGUCUUACUAGAACGACUCCGACGGUGAGGGACGAAGGCUAGGGGAGCAAACCGGAUUAGAUACCCGGGUAGUCCUAGCUGUAAACGCUGCCCACUUGGUGUUGCCCUUUCGUAGGGAAGGGGCAGUGCCGGAGCGAAGGUGUUAAGUGGGCCGCUUGGGGAGUAUGGUCGCAAGGCUGAAACUUAAAGGAAUUGGCGGGGGAGCAC
rnacentral:rRNA from 1 species